rnacentral:rRNA from 1 species
UACGAGGGGUGCAAGCGUUGCUCGGAAUUAUUGGGCGUAAAGGGUAGGUAGGUGGUCUUAUUUGUCUGGGGUGAAAGCCUUGGGCUUAACUCAAGAAGUGCCCCAGAAACGGUAAGACUCGAGUCCUGGAGAGGGUCGUGGAAUUCCCGGUGUAGCGGUGAAAUGCGUAGAGAUCGGGAGGAACACCAGAGGCGAAAGCGGCGACCUGGACAGGCACUGACACUCAACUACGAAAGCGUGGGGAGCGAACAGG